AGUGAACGCUGGCGGUAGGCCUAACACAUGCAAGUCGAACGGCAGCACAGUAAGAGCUUGCUCUUACGGGUGGCGAGUGGCGGACGUGUGAGGAAUACAUCGGAAUCUACUUUUUCGUGGGGGAUAACGUAGGGAAACUUACGCUAAUACCGCAUACGACCUACGGGUGAAAGCAGUGGAUCUUCGCACCUUGCGCGAUUGAAUGAGCCGAUGUCGGAUUAGCUAGUUGGCGGGGUAAAGGCCCACCAAGGCGACGAUCCGUAGCUGGUCUGAGAGGAUGAUCAGCCACACUGGAACUGAGACACGGUCCAGACUCCUACGGGAGGCAGCAGUGGGGAAUAUUGGACAAUGGGCGCAAGCCUGAUCCAGCCAUACCGCGUGGGUGAAGAAGGCCUUCGGGUUGUAAAGCCCUUUUGUUGGGAAAGAAAAGCAGCAGGUUAAUACCCCGCUGUUCUGACGGUACCCAAAGAAUAAGCACCGGCUAACUUCGUG
rnacentral:rRNA from 1 species